rnacentral:tRNA from 1 species
GCGGGGACGGCGUUCCGGUGGCGCAGCCUCUUUUCCAGGAGGCAGGGAGCGGUUCGACUCCGACUUCCCCGCUCCA